AGCAGGAUCAGGGGCUGGGGUGAGUGGGGCCCUGGCUGGGCUGGGUGGUGGGACACGUGAAGGCCUAGUGGGGCCCUACUUACCUCAGCCCCUACUCCUGCCUGUGCCCCACUCCUUCCCUCACCACUGGAGUCUCAAUCUGCCCCACCCCCCAUAGCAGUGAGGGAGAGAGUGGGGCAGGGGCAGGCCCUGCACAGCUGGGGCAGAGUGUGGGGUGUGCCCAGCACAGAGAAGGGGGGUGGCUUCUGCUGCUGCAUGCACACCGGGAGGGCAUGGGGGCCAUGCGCCUGGGAUCUGCAUGCAGGGGAGGCCUGCUGUCACUGUGGGCAGGGGCCAGGGCUGCGCUGGCUCUUCCUGGUGGGCUGUGCUCAGGGUGGGCAGCAGCAGUGCUAGGGGGGUUAGUUGGGCUAUGGAAAAUUUUUGGGUGGCUGCAGGCCCCCUAUAGCGCUGCUCCCAGUGCUGCUGCCCGCCCCAAUUGCAGCCUGGCCCAACCCCCACCAUGGGGAAGAGACUGACGCAGUCCUGGCCCAGCCCCCCCUGCUCUGCACGCAGAUCCCAGGCACACUGGAUGAGCCACCUGGGCUCAAUCCUCCCACCACCCAGCCUGGCCGGGCCCCCACUCACCUUAGCCCCUGCUUCUGUCUGUGCCUCCCUCUGUCCCUCACUGUGGGCCCUCGGUCUGGCCCCCACAGACUGAACUCCUGGGCUGGGGGGGCAGGACGGGGACGGGACAGCUUGUGCAUGCAUGCGCGCAUGUGCUUAGCCCCUCCUAGCCUCAGAUUGACUGCAAGAGGCUCUAUGAUUGACCAGUCGAUUGCAAACAACUGGUUGGUGACCAGUGCUCUAGCUGAAGUCCCUGUAUCCCCUUGCACCAAGGGAUUCCUAUGUGAGGCUGGCCUCUAGUUUAUAGGCAGAAGAAGGCUUUAGUAGUGGCAGAUUUGAUUAUUAGGAAUGUAGAUAGUUUUGUAUGUGAUGUUUGAGAGGACUGUAUAGUGAAUUGCUAGCAGGGUGCAAAGGUACCAGACCUCAUGACUUAUGAGUGCUGGUGUUUUAAGAAGAAGAGUUUUAUUUAUGGGUUAGCCAUUUGGUCAGGAUAGGGGAUAGUGGCCCAGUCUACAUGAGAUGCUUUACUUGAGAUUAGAGAUAAUUACUGCACAGUAAGUGUCACCAUCUAUAUGUGCAGAUGCUUACUGCGCAGCAAUUUGCUCUAAUUGCUAAUAAGUUUGCUACCUGGAAAUACAAGUAGCAAAUUUACUUCUGAUUACUUACUGCACAGUGGCACUUGUGUAGACAGCUGACUGGGGCAAAUGUAUUCCUAGGCAGCAGGUGAUGGGAGAUUGCUCCCUGCCCCUGGGAUCUGCCUGCUGCUGGGCUGGGUUCCACCACAGGAACCUGGGUGGGGCAGUGUUCUCCUGCCCCGCAGCAGGGAGCUCCUGCUUUGUGAUUCAGAUUUCCUGGCACUGGCCCUGAGGUCAUGGAGCUAGUGCUGGGAGAUAACGAUCUCCCAGAGCUGGCCUCAGAGUUACAGAGCUGGUGCUGGGAGCUCCCUGCUGCCCGGGGCUGUGGAGUUUGUUCCCCACUCAGCUCCAUCAUCAUGUAGCUAGGUGGGGAACAGGCUGUGGAGCCUGUUCCCUACUAAGCUUCGUGACCACAGAGCUGAGCAGGAAACAAACUCCCCAACUAGCUUUGUGAUCAUGGAGCUGACCAGGGAAUAGGUUCCCGUACCUGAAGCCUAGGGAUUCAGUGGAGCCAUUGGGCAAAGCACUCAAGGAGGAUGAGGCCAUUGCAGAGAAGCUAAAUGAGUCCUUUCCAUUAGUCUUCACAAUGGAAGAAGUUAGGGAGAUCCUUGUCCCAGAACUACACUUUCCUGGGUGCAAAUCAAUAGAACUGGCCCAAAAUGAAGUAGGUACAUGAGGUCCAGUACAAGAGAUUAUUGAGGAGAAAAGUAUUAACUGAACAGUGGCAAGUCAGCAGAUCCCACUGGUGUUCAAAAAAAGGCUCCAGAAGAACUUGGACUUGUAAUUGCUGAUCUAUUGACUUCAGUAUGCAAUCUAUCACUAAAAACUGCCUCUGUACUGGAGUACUAAUGUGACACCACUCUUUAAAAAGGACUCCAGAGGGGAUCCUGGAAUCUACAGACCCAUGAGCCUAACUUCUUAAAAUGAGAUUGUCACAUGAAUGUAUAGAACUUGUUGGGUAAGAGUUAACAUGGCUUUUGGAAAAAGAGGUCAUGCCCCACAAGUCUAGUAGAGUUCUCUCAGAGUGUCAAGAAGCAUGUGGAUCAGCUGAUCUGUCUUUUAUACUAUAGCUAGGUUUUUAGAAAGCUUUUGAGAAAGUCAUACAAAAGAGGAGGCUCUGAUGGUAACACCGGAGAAGGAGGAAGAUAAGCAGCGUGCUGCUACCUCCAACAGGACAAGGUGGUGGUGGUGGAGGAGGACUCCCUCCUGUAGGGCACCGAGGGUCCCCUCUGCUGUCUAGAACCCCUAGCCUGUGAGGUCCGCUGCCUCCUUGGGGCCUGCAUCCGAGAUGUUGCAUAGAGGAUCCCCAGGCUAGUAUGGCCCUCUGACUACUACCCUAUGCUCCUCAUUUAUGUGAAAACAAAUGACACAGCCAAGAGUAAUCCAGACUGGAUCAUGAGUUGACUACAGGGCUCUGGGGGCAGGGCUCAAGGGAUCGGGGGCCCCCAGGUAGUCAUGUCCUCUGUGCUUCUAGUGCCUGUUGCAGGCCACAGUCCUAAGAGGGAAGGAUACAUUGAAGAAGUCAACUGACAACUCCGAUGGUGGUGUCACCAAGAAGAUUUCAGCUUCCUCAACUACAGCACACACUUCAGGGACAGAGGACUCCUGGGAAGGGACAGCAUCCACCUCAUGCGGAGAGGCCAUCAAAUCAGGGGGAGGAACUUGAUCUAGAGUUUGCCCAAGAACUGAUAGAGGCCGCAUGUGCGUGGGACAUGGUCGUCAUGCGUGACUUCAAUUAUCUGGACAUCUAUUGGGAGGAACACUUGGCCAAGUCAGACUGGUCGCAUUCCUUCCUGACCUGCUUUGAAGAGCUCUUCCUGGCUCAGGAGGUGCACGGGCCAGCCAGAGGUAAUGCUCUCCUAGACUUGGUCCUGGCCAAAGGAGAUGACCUGGUAACUGACUUAUUUAUAGAGGGUAGCCUGAGUGACAGUGACCAUGAAACCAUCACGUUCACUAUCCAUCACAAGGCAGACAAGUCUGAUAGCAGGGUUGAAUUCUUGGAUUUCAAAAAUGCAAAUUUCAACAAGUUCAGGUCACUAGUAGGGGAAGUGCUGCGGGACCAGGGACUGAAGGCAAAAGCUGUGCAUGAAGAAGUCAUUCCUUAAAGACAUGAUCCUUGAAGCACAAAGGAAGUCUAUUCCCAUGCAGAGAAAAGGUAGCAGAAGGACUGAAAAGCCCUCUUGGCUAAACAGGGAAAUCACAGUCGUCUUAAGAAAGAAGAAAGAGGCAUACAAACAAGGGAAGCUGGGGACAGGCUCCAAGGAUGACUAUACAACAAUGACCCGCACUUGUAGGGAACAAAUUAGGCCAAGGAGGUGACUGAACUUAGAUUAGCAAUGGGAAUCAAGGACAGCAAGAAGUCCUUCAGGUAUGUAGGGAACAGUAGGAAAACAAAUGGAAGUGUAGGGCCAUUGCUCAACAACUCAGGAUGGCUGGUUACUGACACUCAGGAGAAAACUGAACUCCUGAAUGACUACUUUGCCUUGGUAUUUCACUGGGCCAAGGGUGAAAAUCAUGCCAGAUAGGGUACAGAAUGAACAGGGCAGGAAUGACUGCCUUCCUACUAUUGUCGUAGAACUGGUGUGUGAUCAAUUAAAGAAAUUAGACAUAUAUAAGUCAGCAGGGCUGGAUGAACUUCAUCUGAGGGUGCUGAAGGAGCUGGCCGAAGUCAUCGCAGAGCCCCUGGCAAAACUGUUCCAGCACUUGUGGCACUCUGGAAAGAGCCCUGGAGACUGGAAGAGGUCCAUCUUUGUGCCCAUCUUUAAGAAGGGGAGGAGGGAGGACCUGGGUAACUAUAGGCCAUUAGCCUAACUUCUAUCCCAGGUCAAAUCCUGGAAAAACUCAUUAAGGAAUCUAUGUGCAGUAGGCUUGCAGACAGUAGGAUUCUGAAUGACAGCCAGUAUGGCUUCAUCGUGAGCAGGUCUUAUCUUACCAACCUCAUCUCCUUUUAUAAUCAGGUACCUUGCCACCUGAAUAAGAGAGAGGACGUUGUCAUUGUAUACCUUGACUUCCAAAAAACCUUUAAUCUGGUAUCCCAUGAUAUUCUUGUGAAAAAAUAGAGGAUUGUGGGCUUAACUGCAAGACAGUUAGGUGGGUACGAAGCUGGCUGUGGCAUAGGACCCAGAGCAUCCUAAUGAAUGGAUCUGUGUCAUCUUGGCGAGAAGUGGCCAGUGGUGUCCCACAGCAGUCGGUGCUUGGUCCAGUGCUAUUCAACAUCUUUAUCAAUGAUUUCGACGUGGGGGUGAAAAGCUCACUGGCCAAAUUUGUGGAUGACACCAAGUUAUGGGGAAGCAUGGUCACACUUAAAGAUACGCUACAGAUAUAAGCGAAUCUAGACAGGCUAGCGAGUCAGAACCAGAUGCAGUUCAACAUUGAGAAAUGUAAUGUGCUCCAUCUGGGGACGAACAACCCCCUGCACACCUACAGGCUUGGCGGCGCCAAACUGACCAGCAUCACAAAUGAAAGGGACCUGGGGGUAAUAAUAGACCACAGUAGGAAUAUGAGCCAGCAGUGUGAUGUUGUUGCCAGCAGGACAAAUAAUACUCUGGCAUACAUCAAUCAAUGUAUCUCCAGCAAAACCAAGGAAGUGAUUCUUCCAUUCUACUUGGCAUUGGUGAGACCUCAACUGGAGUACGGUGUCAAGUUCUGGGUGUCACACUUUAACAAGGAUGUGGUAAAACUUGAGACAGUCCUAAGAUGUGUUAUCCAUACGAUUAGAGACUUACAAGGCAAGCCAUAUGAGAAAAGUCUGAGGGACCUGGGGCUCUUCAGCCUGAAAAAGAGAAGGCUGAGGGGACUUGGUAGCAGCUUACUGCUACAUCAAGGGAGUACAUCAAAGGCUCGGUGAACAACUGUUCACCGGGGCACCCUUGGGGAAAACCAGAAGUAAUGGCUACAAACUCCUGGAAGGCUGUUCAGGCUCAACAUUAGGAAAAACUUCACAACUAGGGUGUCCAAACUGUGGAAUAAGCUCCCUCCAGAGGUGGUGCAAUCAGCUACCCUGGAAAUCUUCAAGAGCAGACUGGACAGUCACCUUGUUGGGGUCACCUGACCCCAGUUGUCCUUCCUGCCUGGUGCAGGGGGCUGGACCUGAUGAUCUUCCAAGGUCCCUUCAGCCAUAGAUGCCGAGAUGCAACUUGAUUGGGAUGGUUUAGUAAGGCCUGCCUUAACCAUAGGGAGUUGGGCUAGAUGUCAUCAUGAUAUCCCUUCCAGUCCCAUGAUCCUAUGCUGCUCUGAUAUAAUUUUUUUAAAAAUGGUUCAGCUUCCAUUGGCUCCUAUGAGCUCUUUUACAGAACUGGCCAAUUUAUUUAAGUGUUUAAUUGGGGGCUGUUGGGUCCUAAGCAAUUUUGAAAAUUGGCCUGGUGGGAGAAACACAUAUCUAAUAUUCCAUUUCUUAAUUUCAACCUAUUUCUUAGUUUGAGCCCAUCAUACCCUGUGUCCAGCCUCAUAAUGGAUUAAAUGGCAUAUUUUGAAGUUAUGACAUCUGAGACCUUUGGGAAUGCUGCAGUUUAUUUUUCCCCUGUAAAGACUAGACUGAUUAGUAGAGUAUUAGGGCUGACCUGUUUUCAGCAUUUUGAGGGCUACAUUUAUUUUCAUCCUUUCUUAAAGUGCCACUGGACAUUUUGCUGUGUUUGGCUUUUUCCUUUUGCCUACCCAGAAGCAUCUAUUUUUACUGACAGCUGGACUGUAUAAACUGACCUUACAAUUAACGCCUUAAUAAAGAGACAACUUUGGAGAAAAAAAUAAAAUUGACACUCAGUUGUUCUCUAUGUCUGUUUAAUGACUUAUUGUAACUAAACAAUGUACAAUUACAUACAAGACAAGCGCUAAACUUCUAUGCUAUAGGCUGUUGAAGUGCCAAAAGGAAAUUCAGGAUAUUCAGAGAAGCAAUCAUUUUUUUUUCCUGGAGCUUUCAAAUUUAUGUAAUUAUUUUUAGAUGGUGUUAUAUGCACACUGGGGUAGAUACUGCCCCUCAUGAGAGCUAGGUUGGGAUAUGGUCCAUUGUGCAUAAACAUACAGAGAUCAUAUUCUCAUUUACACUAGGUUACACUAGCACUAUGGUGAAAAUGGGUGUUAAUGUAAAUGAGAUUCAGACACAAAUAAUCCAUAACAAAUUACUUUAUUGCCUCUAAUUUUACCUAAGUUUCUUUCUACUACAAAAACAAAACUGCAGGUGAAAGAGACUGGGGCUACUAGGACUGCUACUACAUUAUACAUAUUAAAUGAUAAUGAUAAUGGGACAGAUUCUUAGCUGAUAUUAAUCAAGAUAGCUCUGUUAAUUUGAGUAGAGCUAUAGAUAUUGGAUCUGCUCUAUUAAGUUGCUGCAUUUAACUUUCAUGUUGAACUAUAUAUUUUUUCUUUCCUGUGCAAAAUCUCCCCCUCUUGUUUUUUUUAAAGCCCUGCAGGAAAUGUUUUUCAAUAAAGAGUCAAGAGACUUAAGUCUGGAAUUUUUAUGUACACCAGAAACCUAAAUGAAUGGUACAAGCUGAUAGUGAAUAAUCCUGCCACACCUCUCUUCUUUCUUUAAAACCUUUCUACAAAUAUCUGAUUUGGACCUUAGUUUUAUGGCAUAAAUAAAAAUAUUCUACACUGUAGAGACAUAAAGAUGUAUCUUGGAAAGUGAAACAAAAAUAUUUUGUUAGACUUUUUGGAACAUUUCUUAGUGAAACAAACAAACAAAAAUAAACAUAAUAUUCAUACUUCACAAGCUACUGUUUUUAUACAUAGAUAUCAGUUACAUAUAUAGAACCCAGUCCUGCACCAUCAACACUUUUAUUGAUCUCUUUGGAGUUAUACAUACUAAAAGGAAUGCAGGAUUUGGCUUGUAUGUAGUAUAUGCAAUAACUUUAGGGGCAAAUCUUCAAAAGCUUCUGCACAGUGGGUGCGUCUACACAUGUUGCUAUGGUGAUGUUACUGUGUCGUGAUUUAGUACUUCCUUUUGGAAGUACUAAAUCAUGGCUCAGUAACAGCCCAUACUACACAGUGUGUGCUGCACACAGUUAUUUUUAGCAGCUACUUUGUCAUAGUGGUGCACUAUAAUGGGGAGUGCAUCACUACACAGAAGUAGCUGCUGGUCACGUGUAGAUACCCAUGGAUGCUACCUCACUGUAGCGCAUUACUACGGGGAUGUAACGUUAAUGUGUAGAUACACCCACAGUGUCUUAAACUGAGCAGGAGCAUCUAAAGCUGACUGGGAUUUUUUUAUUGCAAAAAAAAAAAAUCCCACAAUAAUGACCAGUUUCUUGCACAUUAAAUAUUUUAUAGAAAUUUGUCAAUUUUGAUUAAAUAUAAUUUAGAAGAAAAUGCAAUACACUUUGAACCUCUGUUGGAAAACAGCUUUUGUUUAAAUUCUUUAUUUCAUAGUAUAUAACAAAAAAUUAAAAAUUUAUUGAAAUAGAACUGGAACAUUUGGAUUUUAAGGGCCAAUAUGCCUACAAACCUGAAACAACAUUUUGGUCAACGUUUUCUUUCUUGGGAAAUUUUGAAUUAUUUUAGCUUGUUUAAUUUUGAAAUGAAAAAAAAACCCCAAACAACCAGCAAAUGUCUUUUAAAACAGAAAACCCAUUCUCUCCCAAUUCUCUGUGUACCUAUCGAUGCCUAUUUGCCACCUGGAAUAUGUAUAACCAUUCUCAUAUAUUAAUAUACAAUCUCAACUCUUACAGACGUUUAGGGCAAGAAACAACUUUUAUAAUCUUUUAUUCUGACUGCCUGGCCAGGUGUACAUGAGACGCUGACCACCCAGUUGUUACUGUGCAGUCAUUUAGUACUUGCAUACUCAAGUACUAAAUAACUGCGCAGUAAAUAGCAUUACUGUGCAGUAGCGUCUGUGCACAGCUUCCUGGUGAUGCUGACUGUGCAGUACCUCAUUACUACUGAGCAGUAGCGUCACCACAUGAUCCAUGACCUGCAACCACAGGCCCCGCAAAAUUUUUCAUAGACCAUAAUGCCUCCUUGUCAGCACAAAAAGUCUGAGAAUUUUCAAUAUUCAAUCCUACCUAAAUACAUGUGGGUCAACAGCUUGUUGAAAUCAAUACAGAGAUUACACUGGUUUUAGUAAAGACUGGAUUAGGUCCUAUAUGGAUUUUUAAGAUUAGGUACCUUUAUUGGCUCUACACCUUAUACAUGUACUGUUGUUUGAUCUCAGUUUGAAAAUUGGAAUAAUAAGAAGGUUUAUAUAAGGCAGAAUCUCAAAAUAAUGCUUUUGAAAAAUGUGAGGUGUGAGUCCAUUUGACUUUACCUGUAUGAUCCUGCUGAAGUCAAUGAGAUUGCUCAUGCAAACAAACUGAGGAGUAUUUGGCCCUAAACAGGAGGACUAGAAAGCUGAGAGUAUCAAAAGUAAGAUGCAGAGCACAAACUAGUUUAAAAUAUACCAAUAGUCACCAAUAACUAGGGACCUACCUAAAUUGCGAUUUUGAGUGGGCUCCAUGAAAAAGCGUGGGCUCCAUGCUUUUGACAGUCUCCCUGAAACACCCCCCCAAAACUUACUGAAAAUAAACUCGUGGCUGCUGUGGCCUGCCUGCACAGCCCACUGGGGAGGGAAGGAGGAAAGGGAGCUGCUGGCAUGGCAAGAUGGCUGCCACCUCCACCCCUCAAUGCUGAUUGGCUGCAAGGGCUGUCUGCCAUCUAGCCCCACCCCUCUCCACCAAUUGGUGGUGAGAUGCAGGGCUGCACGAUGGACAGCCCUCACAGCCAAUCAGCAGCGAGGGGUAGGGCCACUGGUGUGGAGGUGUGGGGGGAGCCGCUGUGCUUGGCUCAUGACAAUGGCUGCCAGCCCCAUGGUUUGCCCACAAAAUUGGCCAGCAGCCAUCUUGAGUUUGGUAGACCCCUACUCAUAACCUGCAGUCACAGAUGUGAUGGUGAUUAUUGUUGUCUUUUACGAAAUGCGGUGAUGAUCUCAGUUAAUUUCCUAGGACAGAUGUCCACACUGCAAAUCCAAAAUGACAACUGCGUACAGACAAAUCUGUGUACAGGAGUGUAGGUUGUAGCCGUGUUGGUCUAAGGACACGAGGAGACAAGGUUCUUUGCGUAAAUCUGGUAUCUUGUACUAGACCAACUCAAAUAGUUGGAAAAAUUCUGCUUAGCAAGCCUUCGGGUUUAAAUACCCUUCAUCAGGCUGAGGAAGAAUCUGCAAUUGGUGUGUGCACUCUUCCUGGAUGGAAUGAAUAGUAAAGAAGCCAGAGACUGGUGUGCAUGCAAGAAAGACAGUCUGAGUAGGCAUCUUCACAGAAGGCUAUGUAGACAGAGAAAGGAUUACAUAGCUAUGGACACUGAACAGUACGCUUAUUCCUGAGACCUCACCAAGGGUACUGGAUGCCCAAAAGCUUGUCUAACAACUCUCCCAACUAUACAUUGAUCCAAUAAAAGAUAUCACUAAAUGUCCUUGCCUUUCAUAAACUUAUCCCUCUAUGAAUACUUGUCCAGGAUAAAAUUGAUGCACAUUAGUGAGGAAAGGUGGGGAACAUUACAUUGCUAUUGUCUGUGGAUAAAUAAUAUUUUUAUAGUUUUGAGACUAUGGGUCUGGUCCCUUUCAAGAGUACUAAUUUCACUUAAAAGACAUUCAGAUCCAAAUAUCCAAAUGUAAACAGGCCCUAAGAAAUGAGAUUGCUAUGAAGAAUUAUGUAACUCUAAAACCUGACCUCAAGCUUAUCCAAACCUUCAAGAGCAGCCUCAUCUUUACAGGGAUCUACUUUAAGCCUUGAACUACCCAUGGCUGUGUAAGUUUGUCACAAGCACGUAGUAAAUAUGUCCAAACAUAGCUACUGUCUGGAAGUUAAAUAUAGCAGUGCUUCUCAAAGUGGUGGUCCGCGGACCGACCACCAGUCGCCAGUCCGCAGCGAGUUGCCAGGAAAAAAAGAAAUAUAUUUUCAGAAGCAUGACAUUGAUAUGUCAUAGCACCACAGUUUGUACGUUCCAACACUACAGGUGACGUCACGUUGUGCAAGGUAAGGGAAGAGAAAGAAACAGCCGGUCGUGCAUUUGUGUAGUGCUGUUACAUGCAGUUGCUGCCACCGGCUGAACCAGGCACCAGUCCCUGGCCCACUGGAAAAAAAGUUGCAGGUCUGCCACAUCAGAUAGUUUGAGAAGCACUGAAAUACAGUACCAGUAGGCUUUAAAAAGUGCAUUGAUUUUCAUUUUCAUUUUUGUGUUUUAAUAGUCUAGUAACUGGACAAUAUUUAAUCACUUUACUUAUAUUAACUACUAAAACGUAUUACAAUUCUAUAUAGCCAAUUAGCACAAAUAUAUAAACUGUUUAAAAGUACAAGUAAAAGUCAGUAUAAAAAUAAAGCAUUAUUGGUGCUUAUUACUUUUAAUAAAAAUGAACUUUAUGCAGUGCAGCCAUGGUACUGCUGAAUAAAUAUAUUAAUAGUUGUAGUGGUAUGGUCCACUUUUGUGGUUCCACUUUAACAAUGAUUUCCCGUUAACACAUUGAUGUUGACAGAAAAAGACCAAAGGAACCCUCAUGACUACCAAAAUGUCAUAACAAAAUAAAAGCUUGACCUGUUUCUGAAGGAUCGACUUUCAAGCAGGAAACUGAGUUAUUUUGGAAACUGAGCUAAUGACACUGUUAUUAUUUCUCCCAAGUGAUAAGGUUGAUGGAUAUAUACCACUUGUAUUUUGCCUAAUCCUUUUCCCAACGCUGAGGACCUGUCACUUAGUGAUCGUCCAGUGUGACUUAUCUAUGUAUGACCUACCUAUGCGUAUAAAUGUUCUUGCUUUCUCAUUUUCAUAUUUGAAAAUAUUUCAAUAGAGCCAUCUAGAUCAAAGCAUCAUUUUUUUCAUGGGAAAUAGAUACAUUCUGGGCUUUUCAAAAGGAUACCAGGGAAUCAUGCAUUCAACUCUCAUUAGGCAUCUCAGAAAUCCAAACCAAAAGAAAUAAGUAAGACCUGCUGCAGUGUAAUAUCGCUACAUGUCUCCCUGGAGAGGAUGAGCUUGCAUACAAGUAUAUGCGUAAGGACUCCUGAACAGACCCAGGAAAAUAUAAAAAAAGAUAAACAAUAGUAGCUAUUACAGGUGUUUCAAUUAAACUUCCAUUAAAUUUACAAGGGUCCAAGUUUUGAAACUUAAGCUACACUUAAAGAAUAAACUACUACAUUUAGUAUCUUGUUAGAGGUAACAGUAGGUUACAGAACUCUGCAAUAAUUGUUUGUACUCCUUACAUGUUUUAAAUUAUAUUUUUAGCUGAUGGUGAAAAGUUUCUACUUAAAAGAAAGAAAUGUGCAAUAAAAACAUGAUUUUACCAUCUCCCAACACUUCUUAAAGGUCAGAAGGUCAGAUAAACAACUUCCUGCAGCUGUGGCUACAUCUGGCACACGACUGCUGUAGAAACGUGCUUUGGAAAGAUAAACAUAUCAGGUUGUAUCUACUUGGUCUCCUACACUUUGGGAUAAAGCUUAGCGACUGAACUUGACCCUAUAGGUCCAUCAGUAAUUAAUAUAAAAAAACUACUUUGACACUAAUGAAUCAAACUCAAUUGAGAUUGUAUACAUUUAAAAUCAGCUUGGCCCAGUGGUUGAGUUUCCUUGAUCCUCCUGUGUACGGGGAUAGCUGUUUGGUACUACUCCUCUACAACUCAUCCUCCUGGCAUACUUCUGGUGAUUUCCUCAUCUUAUAUCUACAGGAACGGUCAGCUCCAGUCUGCUAUUUUGUGUUUCAGGGGAUCCAUACUAUUUGUUGAUGUCUUUGAAAUUACUAAUAUGAAAGUCUGAUGGCUUGAGGUGUGUGAAGCAGCUGUUUUCUUAGAUGUAGGUGAAUAGAAGCUUCCCUUGCCUGAGUGAAAAGAAGUUCUGCUGGUUAUUUGGAGGGCUAUCUCUCUUUGCACGUCUUAAAUCUAGCAAGCCAUGUUGGUGCUUUAUUGAGAAAUACUAUGAAACAUAUUGUUUCUUUUCCAACCAAACUGGUUGUUCUGCUGAGGGCUCCAUGAAUAACUGAUAUUUUUGCUUCAGUGGUGGAACAAACUAAAAUCCAUUGUUUGACAUACUGUGUGAAUCAAAACAAUUAGGCUGAGUUCAAAUAAAACAUGUCAUUUGGCUCAAAA